AUGAAGAACGUAGCGAAAUGCGAUACUUGGUGUGAAUUGCAGAAUCCCGUGAACCAUCGAGUCUUUGAACGCAAGUUGCGCCCGAAGCCAUUAGGCCGAGGGCACGCCUGCCUGGGCGUCACACGUCGUUGCCCCCCCAUCUACUCCUUCGGGAUUGCGGGGGGCGGAUGAUGGCCUCCCGUGCGCCUCGCCGCGCGGUUGGCAUAAAUGCUAAGUCCUCGGCGACGCACGCCACGACAAUCGGUGGUUGCGAAACCUCGGUUGCCCGUCGUGUGCGGUCGUCGCGCAUCGAGGGCUCGAAAAAAUUGCCGGGUUCCGGCUCGGCUUUCAACGCGACCCCAGGUCAGGCGGGGUUACCCGCUGAAUUUAAGCAUAUCAAUAAGCGGAGGA
rnacentral:misc_RNA from 1 species